AACGAACGCUGGCGGCAGGCUUAACACAUGCAAGUCGAGCGCCAGCAAUGGGAGCGGCGGACGGGUGAGUAACACGUGGGAACAUGCCCUUCGGUACGGAAUAACUCAGGGAAACUUGUGCUAAUACCGUAUGCGCCCUAACGGGGAAAGAUUUAUCGCCGAAGGAUUGGCCCGCGUCUGAUUAGCUUGUUGGUGGGUAAAGGCCUACCAAGCCUGCGAUCAGUAGCUGGUCUGAGAGGAUGAUCAGCCACACUGGGACUGAGACACGGCCCAGACUCCUACGGGAGGCAGCAGUGGGGAAUAUUGCGCAAUGGGGGAAACCCUGACGCAGCAACGCCGCGUGGAGGAUGAAGUCUCUUGGGACGUAAACUCCUUUCGAUCGGGACGAUUAUGACGGUACCGGAAGAAGAAGCCCCGGCUAACUUCGUG
rnacentral:rRNA from 1 species